AUCUGAGAACACGUUCUAGGCUGCUGCCCAAGUUGCCUUAUGGGUAAUCCGGCUCUCAUGUCAUCAGACAUUUAUAUACAUGUGCAGAGCUUCACCUAUUCAUAUUAAUGGGAUCCUCAGUCAAAGUGACUUCCAUUAACUUGAAUGGUUAGAUAAGUGAUCUACAAGCCAGUGCUUCAUACCUAAUAUAGGUACACAUGAUUGUCCCAGUUCCCAUUGACAACCACUGCCUUGCUAAAGAAGCUGAAGGUAAAGGUGAUGGACUGGCCAAGCAUGUUUCCUG